rnacentral:tRNA from 1 species
GGGUGUAUAGCUCAGCGGUCGGGUGCAUGCUUAGCACACACGAUGUCCUGGGUUCAAUCCCCAGUACCUCUG